rnacentral:rRNA from 1 species
UUAAGCGACUAAGCGUACACGGUGGAUGCCCUGGCAGUCAGAGGCGAUGAAGGGCGUGCUAAUCUGCGAUAAGCGCCGGUAAGGUGAUAUGAACCGUUAUAACCGGCGAUACCCGAAUGGGGAAACCCAGUGUGACUCGUCACACUAUCAUUAACUGAAUCCAUAGGUUAAUGAGGCGAACCGGGGGAACUGAAACAUCUAAGUACCCCGAGGAAAAGAAAUCAACCGAGAUUCCCCCAGUAGCGGCGAGCGAACGGGGAGGAGCCCAGAGCCUGAAUCAGCAUGUGUGUUAGUGGAAGCGUCUGGAAAGGCGCGCGAUACAGGGUGACAGCCCCGUACACAAAAGCGCAUGUGCUGUGAGCUCGAUGAGUAGGGCGGGACACGUGGUAUCCUGUCUGAAUAUGGGGGGACCAUCCUCCAAGGCUAAAUACUCCUGACUGACCGAUAGUGAACCAGUACCGUGAGGGAAAGGCGAAAAGAACCCCGGCGAGGGGAGUGAAAAAGAACCUGAAACCGUGUACGUACAAGCAGUGGGAGCACCCUUUGGGGUGUGACUGCGUACCUUUUGUAUAAUGGGUCAGCGACUUAUAUUCUGUAGCAAGGUUAACCGUAUAGGGGAGCCGUAGGGAAACCGAGUCUUAACCGGGCGUUAAGUUGCAGGGUAUAGACCCGAAACCCGGUGAUCUAGCCAUGGGCAGGUUGAAGGUUGGGUAACACUAACUGGAGGACCGAACCGACUAAUGUUGAAAAAUUAGCGGAUGACCUGUGGCUGGGGGUGAAAGGCCAAUCAAACCGGGAGAUAGCUGGUUCUCCCCGAAAGCUAUUUAGGUAGCGCCUCGUGAAUUCAUCUCCGGGGGUAGAGCACUGUUUCGGCUAGGGGGCCAUCCCGGCUUACCAACCCGAUGCAAACUGCGAAUACCGGAGAAUGUUAUCACGGGAGACACACGGCGGGUGCUAACGUCCGUCGUGAAGAGGGAAACAACCCAGACCGCCAGCUAAGGUCCCAAAGUCAUGGUUAAGUGGGAAACGAUGUGGGAAGGCCCAGACAGCCAGGAUGUUGGCUUAGAAGCAGCCAUCAUUUAAAGAAAGCGUAAUAGCUCACUGGUCGAGUCGGCCUGCGCGGAAGAUGUAACGGGGCUAAACCAUGCACCGAAGCUGCGGCAGCGACACUGUGUGUUGUUGGGUAGGGGAGCGUUCUGUAAGCCUGUGAAGGUGUGUCGUGAGGCAUGCUGGAGGUAUCAGAAGUGCGAAUGCUGACAUAAGUAACGAUAAAGCGGGUGAAAAGCCCGCUCGCCGGAAGACCAAGGGUUCCUGUCCAACGUUAAUCGGGGCAGGGUGAGUCGACCCCUAAGGCGAGGCCGAAAGGCGUAGUCGAUGGGAAACGGGUUAAUAUUCCCGUACUUGGUGUUACUGCGAAGGGGGGACGGAGAAGGCUAUGUUGGCCGGGCGACGGUUGUCCCGGUUUAAGCGUGUAGGUGUGUGUUCCAGGUAAAUCCGGUUCACUUUAACACUGAGGCGUGACGACGAGGCACUACGGUGCUGAAGCAACAAAUGCCCUGCUUCCAGGAAAAGCCUCUAAGCAUCAGGUAACAUCAAAUCGUACCCCAAACCGACACAGGUGGUCAGGUAGAGAAUACCAAGGCGCUUGAGAGAACUCGGGUGAAGGAACUAGGCAAAAUGGUGCCGUAACUUCGGGAGAAGGCACGCUGACACGUAGGUGAAGUGAUUUACUCAUGGAGCUGAAGUCAGUCGAAGAUACCAGCUGGCUGCAACUGUUUAUUAAAAACACAGCACUGUGCAAACACGAAAGUGGACGUAUACGGUGUGACGCCUGCCCGGUGCCGGAAGGUUAAUUGAUGGGGUCAGCGCAAGCGAAGCUCCUGAUCGAAGCCCCGGUAAACGGCGGCCGUAACUAUAACGGUCCUAAGGUAGCGAAAUUCCUUGUCGGGUAAGUUCCGACCUGCACGAAUGGCGUAAUGAUGGCCAGGCUGUCUCCACCCGAGACUCAGUGAAAUUGAACUCGCUGUGAAGAUGCAGUGUACCCGCGGCAAGACGGAAAGACCCCGUGAACCUUUACUAUAGCUUGACACUGAACAUUGAGCCUUGAUGUGUAGGAUAGGUGGGAGGCUUUGAAGCGUGGACGCCAGUCUGCGUGGAGCCGACCUUGAAAUACCACCCUUUAAUGUUUGAUGUUCUAACGUGGACCCGUAAUCCGGGUUGCGGACAGUGUCUGGUGGGUAGUUUGACUGGGGCGGUCUCCUCCUAAAGAGUAACGGAGGAGCACGAAGGUUGGCUAAUCCUGGUCGGACAUCAGGAGGUUAGUGCAAUGGCAUAAGCCAGCUUGACUGCGAGCGUGACGGCGCGAGCAGGUGCGAAAGCAGGUCAUAGUGAUCCGGUGGUUCUGAAUGGAAGGGCCAUCGCUCAACGGAUAAAAGGUACUCCGGGGAUAACAGGCUGAUACCGCCCAAGAGUUCAUAUCGACGGCGGUGUUUGGCACCUCGAUGUCGGCUCAUCACAUCCUGGGGCUGAAGUAGGUCCCAAGGGUAUGGCUGUUCGCCAUUUAAAGUGGUACGCGAGCUGGGUUUAGAACGUCGUGAGACAGUUCGGUCCCUAUCUGCCGUGGGCGCUGGAGAACUGAGGGGGGCUGCUCCUAGUACGAGAGGACCGGAGUGGACGCAUCACUGGUGUUCGGGUUGUCAUGCCAAUGGCACUGCCCGGUAGCUAAAUGCGGAAGAGAUAAGUGCUGAAAGCAUCUAAGCACGAAACUUGCCCCGAGAUGAGUUCUCCCUGAGACUUAGAGUCUCCUGAAGGAACGUUGAAGACGACGACGUUGAUAGGCCGGGUGUGUAAGCGCAGCGAUGCGUUGAGCUAACCGGUACUAAUGAACCGUGAGGCUUAACCUU